rnacentral:rRNA from 1 species
AGUGUGGCGCAUGCCACGCCUUUGAAAGAUGGUUUCGGCUAUCGCUUACAGAUGGGCCCGCGGUGCAUUAGCUAGUUGGUAGGGUAAUGGCCUACCAAGGCAACGAUGCAUAGCCGACCUGAGAGGGUGAUCGGCCACACUGGGACUGAGACACGGCCCAGACUCCUACGGGAGGCAGCAGUAGGGAAUCUUCCGCAAUGGACGAAAGUCUGACGGAGCAACGCCGCGUGUAUGAAGAAGGUUUUCGGAUCGUAA